AAUGGAAUUGCUGGGUCAUAUGGUUAACUCUAUAUUUAAACAGCUGAGGAACUGCCAGGCUGUUUUCCAAUGUAGUUGUACCAUUUUACAUUCCCAGCAGCAGU
rnacentral:pre_miRNA from 1 species